rnacentral:rRNA from 1 species
GUAGGGUGCGAGCGUUAAUCGGAAUUACUGGGCGUAAAGCGUGCGCAGGCGGUUUUGUAAGCCAGAUGUGAAAUCCCCGGGCUUAACCUGGGAAUGGCAUUUGGGACUGCAAGGCUUGAGUGCGGCAGAGGAGACUGGAAUUCCUGGUGUAGCAGUGAAAUGCGUAGAUAUCAGGAGGAAUACCGAUGGCGAAGGCAGGUCUCUGGGCUGACACUGACGCUCAUGCACGAAAGCGUGGGGAGCAGACAGGAUUAGAUACCCUGGUAGUCCACGCCCUAAACGAUGUCGACUGGUUGUUGGGGGUUUGACACUCUCAGUAACGAAGCUAACGCGUGAAGUCGACCGCCUGGGGAGUACGGCCGCAAGGUUA